UUUGCAACCGGAGCUUCCGAGUAGUCUUGUUUUGUCUCCACAGGUUUUUGAGGAAGAGCCACUGGAUUUUCCACAUCAGUGCCCAUGUCUUGACACUAGGAAAUGUUUAGAUGAUGAUCUAGGUCCUAUCUUUGAUGAGGAGGACGAACCUGAUCCAGUCUUUGAUGAAGAAGCAACAAGCAUCACAUCCAUUGCUAUGGAGAAUUAUCUAUGCUUUGAUCCCGGCACAACUCCUGCCCCUUUACCUCCUGAUCUUCAAGAGCACUGUGAGGAACCUUCUUCUCUUUAUUCUCUGCCUGACAUGUUUGUGAAAGUCAGUACUGAUGAUAUAAUUCGUUUUGGUCUUGACAAGAUAAAAGAUUUUUGUGUUUCAAAAUCUGUUUUUGAUAACAUGAUUAAUUCUUUAAAAAUCUUUCAACCUGAUAAAUGUCUUGAUCAAUCAUGUUUUCAAAAUGUCAAUGCCAUCACUUCUGGAAUUAUUUGAGCUUUGAUCAGUUCGUGGAACAUAACAAAGGUUUUCAUCUUCUUGGAAGGCCAUUUGAUCUUGAUUUGCAACAAACUGAUUUUUGUGCUGAAAAAUCUCUUGAUUCGUUUGUUUGCAAAGGAAAUGGCUUUGAUCUGAGUUCUUCUAGACAUGUACUGAUUACUGAUAAAUUGUUUGCAUCCUCUUAUGCCUUGGACGAAAUUUUGAUUCAGAAGUUGCUGGAACAGAAAUCACUUGAAACUAAAAAUGAUUUUCGUGAUCUUGAAUUUUGUGGUUCUGUUUUGCAGCCUGAUCUCUUGAGUUUUGAAACUGAUAAUACUUGGCAUUUUCUGAGAUCAUUUCGUGAUAAUAGUGUUGUCUUGAGUUCUGAUGAUAUUUUGGUUUACAACACAUUCUUUGAGAAAUGCCUUGAACUUUUGAUAAAUGAUUCUCAAACUGAACUUAAGCUUGUGUGUUCAGAUGUUGGGAAGGAUAUGCCCAUUUUGAAAAUGAAUACUGUUGUUGCAUAUCUUGAUAAAAUUCUUGUCUGUAAUAUUUACUUUGAUGAGCACCUUGAAAGGCUGAAAAAUGUGCAAUUUGUUCUUGGAAAAGAUAUCUUGAUUUGUGAUUUGAACAAAUAUUUAUCUUGCACAUUUGAUCCUGGUCUUUUAGUGUUUGUUUUGAGUAUCCAGGAAAGACAAGUUCAGCCUCUGAAUGAAAGCAUUGGCCGUGCCCAACAACCUCAGAUUUGGAGAAGCUUUGUUGUUCAAACCGGCUACCUUGGUGCCAGCGACAGAGGUUCAGUCCAAGAAUGAUAUCUCAACAGUCCGAAGGUCUUUUGUCUUGAAUCCAAUUUUACAAGAAAGCCAACUCAUCAAGGAUUCACUGAGGCUUGGAAUCGCAUGAAAAUCUUCACGGAUGAAGAAGUUAUGAAUUUUCCAAACCGGAGGUUCUUCAGUCCAUCUAUGCGUGAGUACCAGAUUUCUAAAAGAGAUUCAUGCCCCAGAAAGAAUCGGCCUGAGCCAAAACCGAUCCUCCAUGAACCAAAGGUGUUUCCUCAGUCAUCCUCCUGUCUAAACCAAAAGCACUGUAAGGAUCAUGAGUUGAUUGCCUCUACUCUUCAUGAAAAUGUUUUGAAACCGAGAAUUUCAAAAAGAAAACAUAUUCUUACUUGGUUGAAAAACGUUUUGCUCAAACCUUUUCAUGAAUUGAUUUCAUUGAGCUGUGCUUUGAAAGAGAUUUGGUGCAGGAAAAAGCAUGAACUAAAAUUGUUUAGGCCAAAGAAUUCUUUUGAUUUCGUUCAUGAUGAUAAUUUUUCAAAUUUGGCAUUGUCUCUUUCUUUCCAUAACAGUUUCUCCCCUUGGCCUGAUUUUGAGAUUGAUAAAUCAAUUUUUUGCAACCAGCUUACUUGCUUGAUGCUUGCCCACGUCCUUGAUGAUUAUCCUAAGGGCUUGGAUCCUGAUUUUGAUGUCUUAAGGAUAGAGAAACCCUUUGAUUAUUUCUUUGGCAGAUUUGAUGUGGUUUCUCUAGUUGCUUUGAAUAAACAGGAUAAGCAUGAUCAGUUUCUAAGGAGAGCAAGCACCAAUGGUCGCCAAAGUACUUGGAAUUCCUUGAUGAAAAUGACUUCAAAACUCCAUGGAAGUUUCUGUCCAUAUUUUUCAUUCCCUGAAUUUUCCAUGAAUUAUAAUUCCUUUGUAUCUGAUUCAUCUCUUUUUGAUAUAGGUACUUUGGAUUUGAGGACAAAUCCUUUUGAAGAAGGAGGGAAUGAUAGACCGCGGUCCACGGAUCAGUACAUGGAGCCGAACCAGCAUGAAGAUCAGGACGUUCUGAAGUUUUCAACCGAGGUUCAUGAUUUUCACCAUACUGGCCAGACUGACCGGACUGUCCCAAAUGCAUCCGGAUGGGAGCUUAGGCUGGAACCAUGGCCAGAUGAUCGAUUUCACUGUACUGGACUUUGUCUUCACCGUCCUGUUUUCCAUUUUAUGAAGAACAGUCGAGACGGAAUCGCAUUCGGACGCACGAAUCCUGAGUUAGGUCAUUGCUAUACAUUUCUGGACAGUACCGCAUGUACCGCCCGGAUGUCCAGUUUGAGGCUUCAUCAAUACCCAUGUCCAGACGAUCGAAUUCACCGAACUGGAGCUCGUAUUUCCCGUACUGAUUGGCAUUUUAAGAGCAACGGUCAAGACAGAUUUGGAUUCGGACGAGUGGAACUCAAGAUAGGCCAUGACACUUCAAAACUGGCUACUUUGGACUGUCCUGCUUGUGUACUGGCCCAGUCCGCAGGACAUGCUUCAGGAUACAAUGAACCUGGACGGAAUUUGAAGGGGUUUUCGCCAGUCAAAGUGUGAUUUCGUGCCUUGACCAGAUCUGGUCAAUUUUAUCAUUUUCUAUGUUUAGAUUUCCCACAUUUUUCUUUAAGUCUUUUGACUAGAACUUCUAUAUAAUGUAACCAUCAGAUCUGAAUAAGACAAUUUCGUUUUUGCUUUCAUUCUUUUGAGUUUUACUCUCUUUGUUCUUUGUUAGAACAUUUCUUAGUUUCUUGGUGAGGUUAUCUCCAAGUUUCGAUCCUUCUUUUGUUGGACCGGUGCGUCACAUCCGGCAACGAUUGAAGUCUGGUAGUAUCAUUGGGUCAUCCGCAACCCUUUGUGUCACCGUUCAUACCAUCAGUUCUCUUUCCUUACGGAUCGAGUUCAUAUCUUUCCAAUCCGGUUGAGUGUUCGUUCCUUAGGGUUCUUCAAGUGGUAUCAGAGCUCUGAAAGAAGUGGUAUCAGAGCCACUCUCUCGGUAACUCUAUUAUCAUUCCAUCUUCUCAUCUCUCCAUCUUCUUCAAACACUUCUUCUUCUACCUUUCUUAAAUCCGGGCCCCUCAUUACCAUCCAUAUAUAUAUAUAAAAAAAAAGAUUUACGAUUUGAUUCAAAAAAAAAAAAAAAAAAAAAAAAAAGAAAAAGUUCAAAGUUUGUUUUGUGGAUUGGUGGUGGAAGAGAAAGCCUGCUGGCUGAGGAGAAAUCCAGCCUUUGAGGUGGUUAAAACGGAUUUCAAAAAUCAAAAUCUCUUAUCUUUCUAUCUUGAGAAAAUUCCCUUGUUUGCUUGGAUUUGCCCAUUGGGAUUCUUUGAUUUGUUCUCUUAGAACAUUGAGUAGAAACUUGUGUGUGAUCACCUAAAUCUGAGAGAAACACUUGAGUGGGUGAGAAUAAAACACUUGAGAGAGUGAGGCUUUAUUUCCUAACUUUUGUGUUGAGAUUUUCAGGUUAUGAUGUUUGGUCUUCAAAGGAAAAGUAACAAGGAGAAGCACCCACGACUUUCUGUCUCUCAAACCUCCUUUAAAUAUGCUUUGAAUACUUUUGAUGAGUUUGUUGAUGUGCAGGAGAAACCAAACAGGUGGAGCAAAGAGCAUGUCAAUACAUCCAAAGGUGAAUCUGAUCCAAAAAGGCAACCCUUUCAAAUUGAUGUCCAACAAAUUUGUGAUAACCUUGUGAAGGGAGUGGACAAAGCCCUUAAGGACUUCAGCAAGAGCCAAAAGAAGAGCACAUCUACACGUGCCCCAGUAGCUGAGCCAUCCUUGUUCAUCAGUAAGAAAGCCCAAGGUGAAUCUGAAAACCAUUUUGAAGAACUUAAAGAUUUUUCAGAUUCUCUACCCAUUUUUGAUGAAUCUGAUGAAGAGCUAAUUGAAAGCUUGAUGUUUUGUGAAAAAUAUUGUGAUCUUCCUUCUCUUGAAACUGAGUUUAAUCUUGAUAAUGAACAAGCUAUUGUAGAACUAACUGUUUUGCAACCGGAGCUUCCGAGUAGUCUUGUUUUGUCUCCACAGGUUUUUGAGGAAGAGCCACUGGAUUUUCCACAUCAGUGCCCAUGUCUUGACACUAGGAUAUGUUUGGAUGAUGAUCUAGGUCCUAUCUUUGAUGAGGAGGACGAACCUGGUCCAGUCUUUGAUGAAGAAGCAACAACCAUCACAUCCAUUGCUAUGGAGAAUUAUCUAUGCUUUGAUCCCGGCACAACUCCUGCCCCUUUACCUUCGGAUCUUCAAGAGCACUGUGAGGAACCUUCUUCUCUUAAUUCUCUGCCUGACAUGUUUGUGAAAGUCAGUACUGAUGAUGUAAUUCGUUUUGGUCUUGACAAGAUGAAAGAUUUUUUUGUUUCAAAAUCUGUUUUUGAUAACAUGAUUAAUUCUUUAAAAAUCUUUGAACCUGAUAAAUGUCUAGAUCAAUUACGUUUUCAAAGUGUCAAUGGCAUCACUUCUGGAAUUAUUUUGAGCUUUGAUCAGUUCUUGGAACAUAACAAAGGUUUUCAUCUUCUUGGAAGGCCAUUUGAUCUUGAUUUGCAACAAACUGAUUUUUGUGCUGAAAAAUCUCUUGAUUCGUUAGUUUGCAAAAGAAAUAGCUUUGAUCUGAGUUCUUCUAGACAUGUACUGAUCACUGAUGAAUUGUUUGCAUCCUCUUAUGCCUUGGACGAAAUUUUGAUUCAGAAGUUGCUGGAACAGAAAUCACUUGAAACUGAAAAUGAUUUUCGUGAUCUUGAAAUUUGUGGUUCUGUUUUGCAGCUUGAUCUCUUGAGUUUUGAAACUGAUAAUACUUGGCAUUUUCUGAGAUCAUUUCGUGAUAAUGGUGUUGUCUUGAGUUCUGAUGAUAUUUUGGUUUACAACACAUUCUUUGAGAAAUGCCUUGAACUUUUGAUAAAUGAUUCUCAAACUGAACUUAAGCUUGUGUGUUCAGAUGUUGGGAAGGAUAUGCCCAUUUUGAAAAUGAAUACUGUUGUUGCAUAUCUUGAUAAAAUUCUUGUCUGUAAUAUUUACUUUUAUGAGCACCUUGAAAGGCUGAAAAAUGUGCAAUUUGUUCUUGGAAAAGAUAUCUUGAUUUGUGAUUUGAACAAAUAUUUAUCUUGCACAUUUGAUCCUGGUCUUUUAGUGUUUGUUUUGAGUAUCCAGGAAAGACAGGUUCAGCCUCUGAAUGAAAGCAUUGGCCGUGCCCAACAACCUCAGAUUUGGAGAAGCUUUGUUGUUCAAACCGGCUACCUUGGUGCCAGCGAUAGAGGUUCAGUCCAAGAAGGAUAUCUCAACAGUCCGAAGGUCUUUUGUCUUGAAUCCAAUUUUACAAGAAAGCCAACUCAUCAAGGAUUCACUGAGGCUUGGAAUCGCAUGAAAAGCUUCACGGAUAAAGAAGUUAUGAAUUUUCCAAACCGGAAGUUCUUCAGUACAACUAUCCGCGAGUACCAGAUUUCUAAAGGAGAUUCAUGCCCCAGAAAGAAUCGACCUGAGCCAAAAUCGAUCCUCAAUGAACCAAAGGUGUUUCCUCAGUCAACCUCCUGGCCAAAACAAAAGCACUGUAAGGAUCAUGGGUUGAUUAUCUCUGCUCAUCAUGAAAAUGUUUUGAAACCGAGAAUUUCUAAACGAAAUCACAUCUUUACUUGGUUGAAAAACGUUUUGUUUAAACCUUUCCAUGAAUUGUGUUCAUUGAGCUGUGCUUUGAAAGAGAUUUGGUUUAGGAAAAGGCAUGAACCAAAAUUGCUUAGACCAAAGAAUCAAUUUGAUUUCAUUCAUGAUAAGAAUUUUUCAGAUUUGGCAUUGUCUCUUUCUUUUCCUGACCGUUUCUCAGCUUGGCCUAAUUUUAAAAUUGAUAAACCAAUUUUUGGUGAUCAGUUUACUUGUUUGAUGCUUGCCCACGUGCUUGAUGAUUAUCCUAAGGGCUUGGAUCCUGAUCUUGGUGUCCUAAAGAUAGAGAAACCUUUUGAUUAUUUCUUUCGCAGAUUUGAUGUGGUUUCUCUAGUUAUUUUGAAUGAACAGGUUAAGCAUGAUCAGUUUCCAAGGAGAGCAAGCGCUGGAGAACGCCUAAGGACUUAUGUUCCUCAAACAUGGAACUGGAAAUACUUGAGGGAAACAAGUUCAAAACUCCAAGGAAGUUUCUGUCCAAAAUUUUCCUUCUCUGAAUUUUACAUGAUUUUAAACUUCUUUUUGUCUGAUUCAUUUUCUUUUGAUUCAGGUAAAAUUGAUUUGAGGUCAAAUCCUUUUGAAGAGGGAGGGAAUGAUGUGCCAUGGAGUAGCGCACCGGGCAAAACAGACAUGCAUGGUUUGAUCAUUGGAAGCAGUAAUGAUAUAUGUUCAUUGUUUGACUCAUAUCUUCUAAACCACGAGGCUUCUACACAUGAAAUCACUUGGAGAAUGUUCUCAACUCAAUUACGGAGCUCCUCGAAGAAGAAUCAGAUCAAACGGAGUUCAUAUGUGAUAGUUAUGCUAUUUACAAAUCAAGUGAUCUUUAGUUCUCGCGAAUUCAGACCACCCGAGAAGCUCGAAAUGGCUAACCUUCUUUCUGAUGAACCAACGGCCAAUUCAAUCAUGACAAAGGUGAUUAUUCAUGUUCUAAAUAUCCAAGAAAGCAUUGGGCUUGAUGGUUUUCAAAAAGAUUCAAAAACGAGCUUGUUUGGCCCAAAUGGAGAAACCGAUAAAAUAUUGGCUAAGGGAAAAGAUGGAUUUCGACCAGACCUCAAAGGGACAUGUCUUGGCCCAUAUCAGGAGUAUAUUCUUCACCUUUCAAAGUCCUGGUCGUGGCUAUAUGAAGAGGUAGUCUAAGUUUCAGUCAAAUACUUUAUUUAGUCAAGUCUUUGUUUCUAUUUCCAAUGUCUUGUUUUUAGCACAUUCUUCUUUGGAUCUCUACAACUUGUAAUCCUAUAAAUAAGGCCUUAGAGCAACGAAAUAAACCAGAUUGUUUUCCCCUUUUGUUGAGUUAAAACUCUUUGUUCUUUGUAGAACUUGUUCUUAGUUUCUUGGUGAGGUUAUCUCCAAGUUUCCAUCCUUCUUUUGUUGGACCGGUGCGUCACAUCCGGCAACGAUCGAAGUCUGGUAGUAUCUUUGGGCUAUUCCGCAACCCUUAGUGUCACCCCUCGAUCCAUCAGUUCUCAAUCCUCUCGGAUCUGAGUUCAUAUCAACCUUACCGAAAGAGUGAUCCUUAUUUUGGUUCUAUCAAGUGCCGUUUGCAUGGAAGAUCCGUGGUCAAUGAUGUGCCGCAGACCACGGAUCAUUACAUGGAACCAGCUCAGCAUGGAGUUCAGGACGUUCUGAACAUUUCAACCGAGGUUCAUCUUUUUCACCGUGCCAUACUUGACUUGGGUCGAGCCAGACUUAGCUUGGGUGGUGAAAAAACCAAAGACGGACAUGCAUUCUCAUCCGGCGGACCAUCCGGACAGUCCCGCAAGCGUCCUUAUCUUUAUCCCGUGCAUCCAUCUGGUUCGGAUGAAUCUAGACAUCUUGACUGGUCUUCUCCAUUUUCCGUGCCUUGACCAGAUCUAGUCUUCUCUAUUUUCCGUGCCUUGACCAGAUCUAGUCUUCUCUAUUUUCCGUGCCUUGACUUGAUCUAGUCAAAUUUAUAUUUCCUAUGCAUUGUUUUCCCACAUUUUCUUUUAUUGUCUUUGACUACAAAACACUAUAAAUAUGUAGUCCCUUUGAUGAAUAAAAUCAGUUCAUUUUGGUUGUUUAUUUCGUUUCUUCUCUGAGUGAGAGAGAGAGAGUUCUUAGCUAGUUCAUCGGUUUGAACCGGCUUGUUGAUUUGGUGGUCAGCCAAUCAUCUUUGUGUGUCGUUUGGUGGUUAGCCAACACACUACAUUCGUUCUUAGGUGGUUAGCCUUAGAUCGUGGGUAUAUCAAGAGCCAUUCCGCAUCUCUUGACGAUCCUUUCAAUCCAUCUCAGUUCCAGAAGCGCCAUUUGCUUCUCGGUUCAUAUCCAACACCCAGCUAAAGUGAUCCUUUCCGAUUUUGGUUCUAUCAAGUGGUAUCAGAGCCACUUUGGCUGGUUUGUUUUCUUUCAUCUUCUCAUCUCUCCACGUUUUUCUUUUCUUAUUUCUUGGAUCCGGGCUGUUCCUUUACUCCCUUGUGAUCGCCUAUUAUAAAAAAAAAAAAAAUCGAUAAAAAAGAAAAAAAAAAGUUUUGGCUUGAAUCACCUUCUGAAGAGAAAUCCAGGGGGAGUGGUGGAAGAGAAAUCCUGCUGGCUGAAGAGAAACCCAGCCUUUGGACAGUUAAGGCGGAUCCAUUUCAAAAAUCUCUUCAUCUUUCUUUCUCUUUUCUUUUUCCCACAAAAGUUUGUUUUGGGUUUUGAUUGCUGAAUUUUGACUGCCUAUCAUCCUUUGAACCAGUGAAAGAACUCUGAGUGACCAUUUAAAAAUCGAGAGCUAAACACUUGAGAGUGUGAGGAUUUUUAUUUUCUAACUUUGUUAAGUGUUUUCAGGAUGUUUGGACUUCUCAAGAAAUCAAAACCACAACAAGACGUCUACUUUCCUUUUAAAACUGUUUUUGAAAAGGAGCAAUUGAUUUUUGAUAAGAAACAGUUUGCUUCUAAUGAGUUUGACUUUGUGCAGAAACAAAAGAAGAGACAAAACAGGUGUGAUGAUGAGAAGUGGGCCAGAAGUCGUGAUCGUCCCUUCACCAAAGCCAAGAGAAGCAACUGUGAUGUGCCUGAUCAGAAUGAGCUUCAGAAUUAUGCCAGCUUGGAAAAGAUGUUGCAUAAGGCGAUUCAUGUUGUCCGGCAACUCAAAAAGAAGGGAAACAGCAACACUUCUUCUGCACCAAAACAACAAAGUAAUUCUUCUUCUAUUUCAAAUUCUGAUUUGAAAACUAAUGUGUUGUCUUUUGAUAAAAGCAAGGCUGUGAAAACCACAAGCAAGGCUCUUUCUACCAGGUGUUUCAAAUGCCAUAAGGUCGGUCAUUAUGCCAACAAGUGCCAAAAACAGAAAACGUUGGUGACAUUGGAGAAAGUUGAAACCGAGCCAGAAAAGGAAGACGUUUUACCAAUUUUCGAUGACUAUGCACAUGAACCAAAGGAAGGGUCAGGUGGAGAGCAAAAUUGUGGUCAUAGAGAAGGAUCUUGUUCCAUUCACAAUCCGGACCAAACUCAAGGUGAACAACGUUCUGAUUAUGGUUCUUUUGCUUAUAAUCCUUUUCCUUUUAAUGUUUCAGAUUUGAGGACAAAUCUUUUUGAAGAGGAAGGGAAUGAUGUGCCGCAGACCACGGAUCAUUACAUGGAACCAGCUCAGCAUGGAGUUCAGGACGUUCUGAACAUUUCAACCGAGGUUCAUCUUUUUCACCGUGCCAUACUUGACUUGGGUCGAGCCAGACUUAGCUUGGGUGGUGAAAAAACCAAAGACGGACAUGCAUUCUCAUCCGGCGGACCAUCCGGACAGUCCCGCAAGCGUCCUUAUCUUUAUCCCGUGCAUCCAUCUGGUUCGGAUGAAUCUAGACAUCUUGACUGGUCUUCUCCAUUUUCCGUGCCUUGACCAGAUCUAGUCUUCUCUAUUUUCCGUGCCUUGACCAGAUCUAGUCUUCUCUAUUUUCCGUGCCUUGACUUGAUCUAGUCAAAUUUAUAUUUCCUAUGCAUUGUUUUCCCACAUUUUCUUUUAUUGUCUUUGACUACAAAACACUAUAAAUAUGUAGUCCCUUUGAUGAAUAAAAUCAGUUCAUUUUGGUUGUUUAUUUCGUUUCUUCUCUGAGUGAGAGAGAGAGAGUUCUUAGCUAGUUCAUCGGUUUGAACCGGCUUGUUGAUUUGGUGGUCAGCCAAUCAUCUUUGUAUGUCGUUUGGUGGUUAGCCAACACACUACAUUCGUUCUUAGGUGGUUAGCCUUAGAUCGUGGGUAUAUCAAGAGCCAUUCCGCAUCUCUUGACGAUCCUUUCAAUCCAUCUCAGUUCCAGAAGCGCCAUUUGCUUCUCGGUUCAUAUCCAACACCCAGCUAAAGUGAUCCUUUCCGAUUUUGGUUCUAUCUAUCUUAGGGUUCUUCAGUUGGUAUCAGAGCCACUUUGGCUGGUUUGUUAUCAUUCUCUUAUCAUCUUCUCAUAUCUUCAUCAUUCUAUUUUCUUAUUGUUUUUUUGGAUCCGGGCUGUUCCUUUACUCCCUUGUGAUCGCCAGUUAUUAAAAAAAAAAAUAAGGAUCACUCUUUCGGUAAGGUUGAUAUGAACUCAGAUCCGAGAGGAUUGAGAACUGAUGGUAUUAACGGUGACACUAAGGGUUGCGGAAUAGCCCAAAGAUACUACCAGACUUCGAUCGUUGCCGGAUGUGACGCACCGGUCCAACAAAAGAAGGAUCGAAACUUGGAGAUAACGUCACCAAGAAACUAAGAAAUGUUCUAACAAAGAACAAAGAGUUUUAACUCAACAAAAGGGGAAAACAAUCUGCUUUAUUUCGUGGCUCUAAGGCCUUAUUUAUAGGAUUACAAGUUGUAGAGAUCCAAAGAAGAAUGUGCUAAAAACAAGACAUUGGAAAUAGAAACAAAGACUUGACUAAAUAAAGUCUUUGACUGAAACUUGGACUACUUCUUCAUAUAGCCACGACCAGGACUUUGAAAGGUGAAGAAUAUACUCCUGAUAUGGGCCAAGACAUGUCCCUUUGAGGUCUGGUCGAAAUCCAUCUUUUCCCUUAGCCAAUAUUUUAUCGGUUUCUCCAUUUGGGCCAAACAAGCUCGUUUUUGAAUCUUUUUGAAAACCAUCAAGCCCAAUGCUUUCUUGGACAUUUAGAACAUGAAUAAUCACCUUUGUCAUGAUUGAAUUGGCUGUUGGUUCAUCAGAAAGAAGGUUAGCCAUUUCGAGCUUCUCGGGUGGUCUGAAUUCGCAAGAACUAAAGAUCACUUGAUUUGUAAAUAGCAUAACUAUCACAUAUGAACUCCGUUUGAUCUGAUUCUUCUUCGAGGAGCUCCGUAAUUGAGUUGAUAACAUUCUACAAGUGAUUUCAUGUGUAGAAGCCUCGUGGUUUAGAAGAUAUGAGUCAAACAAUGAACAUAUAUCAUUACUGCUUCCAAUGAUCAAACCAUGCAUGUCUGUUUUGCCCGGUGCGCUACUCCAUGGCACAUCAUUCUCUCCCUCUUCAAAAGGAUUUGACCUCAAAUCAAUUUUACCUGAAUCAAAAUAAAAUGAAUCAGACAAAAAGAAUUUUAAAAUCAUGUAAAAUUCAGAGAAGGAAAAUUUUGGACAGAAACUUCCUUGGAGUUUUGAACUUGUUUCCCUCAAGUAUUUCCAGUUCCAUGUUCGAAGAACAUAAGUCCUUAGGCGUUCUCCAGCGCUUGCUCUCCUUGGAAACUGAUCAUGCUUAACCUGUUCAUUCAAAAUAACUCGAGAAACCACAUCAAAUCUGCGAAAGAAAUAAUCAAAGGGUUUCUCUAUCUUUAGGACAUCAAGAUCAGGAUCUAAGCCCUUAGGAUAAUCAUCAAGCACGUGGGCAAGCAUCAAACAAGUAAACUGAUCACCAAAAAUUGGUUUAUCAAUUUUAAAAUUAGGCCAAGCUGAUCACCAAGCCGUUUGCCUUCUCGGAUCAUAUCCAACACCCAGCUAAAGUGAUCCUCCCUAUCUUAGGGUUCUUCAGUUGGUAUCAGAGCCACUUUGGCUGGUUUGUUUUCAUUUCAUCUUUUCAUCUUCUCAUCUCUCCACGAUUUUAUUUUCUUAUUUCUUGUUGGAUCCGGGCUGUUCCUUUACUCCCUUGUGAUCGCCAGUUAUUAAAAAAAAAAAAGAGAAAAAAAAAUUGAUCAAAAAAAAAAAAGAGUGAAAGUUUUGGCUUGAAUCACUUCUGAAGAGAAAUCCAGGGGGAGUGGUGGAAGAGAAACCCUGCUGGCUGAAGAGAAACCCAGCCUUAGGACAGUUAAGGCGGAUCCACACAAAAAUCUCUUCAUUGUUCUUUCUCUUUUCUUUUCCCACAAAGUUUGUUUUGGGUUUUGACUCCUGAUUUUUUACUGCCUAUCAUCCUUUGAACCAGUGAAAGAACUCUGAGUGACCAUCUAAAAAUCGUGAGCUAAACACUUGAGAGUGUGAGGAUUUUUAUUUGCUAACUUUUUUAAGUGUUUUCAGGAUGUUUGGACUUCUCAAGAAAUCAAAACCACAACAAGACGUCUACUUUCCUUUUAAAACUGUUUUCGAAAAGGAGCAAUUGAUUUUUGAUAAGAAACAGUUUGAUUCUAAUGGGUUUGACUUUGUGCAGAAACAAAAGAAGGGACAAAACAGGUGCGAUGAUGAGAAGUGGGUCAGAAGUGGUGAUCGUCCCUUCACCAAAGCCAAGAGAAGCAACUGUGAUGUGCCUGAUCAGAACGAGCUUCAGACUUAUGCCAGCUUGGAAAAGAUGUUGCAUAAGGCGAUUCAUGUUGUCCGGCAACUCAAAAAGAAGGAAAACAACAACACUUCUUCUGCACCAAAACAGCAAUGUAAUUUUUCUUCUCUUUCAAAUUCUGAUUUGAAAACUAAUGUGUUGUCUUCUGAUAAAAGCAAAGCUGUGAAACCCACAAGCAAAGCUCAUUCUACCAGGUGCUUCAAAUGCCAUAGGAUCGGUCAUUAUGCUAACAAGUGCCAAAACCAGAAACCGUUGGUGACUUUGGAGAAUGAGAACGUUGAAACCGAGCCAGAAAAGGAAGGUUUUUUGCCAAUUUUCGAUGACUAUGCCCAUAAACCGAUGGCAGGUAGUUCUGAAUUGAUUUUUCAAUUUGAAAUGAAUUCUAAAAAGGUUUUGAAAAAAAAUGAAUUUUCUAGUCCUUUGAAUGCUUUUGAUAUCGGCGCAUAUGACCUUGGUCUUGGAAGCUUUGUGUCAAUACAGGAAGGGUCUGAUGAAGAACAAUAUCGUGGUCAUCAAGCCAACCAAGAAGAAUUUUCUGCCAUUCAAAAACCGGACCAAACUCAAGGUGAGCAAUGUUCCGAUUAUGAUUCCUUUGCUUAUAACCCUUUUCCUUUUAAUGUUCCAGAUUUGAGGACAAAUCUUUUUGAAGAGGGAGGGAAUGAUGUGCCCUGGAUCGUAGACCCAGGCCAGGAUGGUGCACAACUCGACCCAACCAAGGUUUCCCCAUCGGAUAAAGCAACCAUGGUCGAGCCAGAAGCUAACUUUGGACGAGCUGGACGAAGUGACACUUAUUUGGGCGAGCUGGUCGAGCUGAAUCGAAGUGACACUUACAUAUCUGAGAUGGAUGAGCUGAGUGAGCUAAGUGACACUAGCUUGGAGCUGAAUGAGCUAAGUGACACUGAAGAAGGAGCUUGUUUAGUUUUUGGGCGAAAUGAGCUUUUUUCAGCCCAAGAAAAAAUUCAUAAUAAAUUCAAUUUGGGUCGGUUUUACACCAAAUUCGACCAGGCCUUUGCUGAUGGUCUUAUGCCCAUUUGCAUCAAGAAAUAUCAACAAAAGGAGUCAAAGUCGUGGUCAUAUCAAAGGGCAUUCAACAACACACUUAUUUCUAGUCAAAAGUCUUAGUCUUUGUUUAUGUUUUCUAAGUUUCUAGUUUUCCACAAAAACUCUUAAUCUUUCUUUGACCACAAGUAGUAUAAAUAUGUAAGCUCUUCUAUGAAUAAAAUCAGUCUAUGUUUUUGAGUUUAUUUUCGUUUCUUCUCUGAGUGAGAGAGAGAGAGUUCUUAGCUAGUUCAUCGGUUUGAACCGGCUUGUUGAUUUGGUGGUCAGCCAAUCAUCUUUGUGUGUCGUCUGGUGGUUAGCCAACACACUACAUUUGUUCUUAGGUGGUUAGCCUUAGAUCGUGGGUAUAUCAAGAGCCAUUCCGCAUCUCUUGACGAUCCUUUCAAUCCAUCUCAGUUCCAGAAGCGCCAUUUGCUUCUCGGUUCAUAUCCAACACCCAGCUAAAGUGAUCCUCCCUAUCCUAGGGUUCUUCAGUUGGUAUCAGAGCCACUCUUCCGGUAACUCUAUUAUAAUUCCAUCUUCUCAUCUCUCCAUCUUCUUCAAACACUUCUUCUUCUACCUUUCUUAAAUCCGGGCCCCUCAUUACCAUCUAUAUAUUUAUAAAAAAAAAAGAUUUACGAUUUGAUUCAAAAAAAAAAAAAUAGAAAAAGUUCAAAGUUUGUUUUGUGGAUUGGUGGUGGAAGAGAAAGCCUGCUGGCUGAGGAGAAAUCCAGCCUUUGAGGUGGUUAAAACGGAUUUCAAAAAUCAAAAUCUCUUAUCUUUCUAUCUUGAGAAAAUUCCCUUGUUUGCUUGGAUUUGCCCAUUGGGAUUCUUUGAUUUGUUCUCUUAGAACAUUGAGUAAAAACUUGUGUGUGAUCACCUAAAUCUGAGAGAAACACUUGUGUGGGUGAGGAUCAAACACUUGAGAGUGUGAGGUUUUUAUCUACUAACUUUUGUGUUGAGAUUUUUCAGGUUUAUGAUGUUUGGUUUGCAAAGGAAAAGUAACAAGGAGAAGCCUCAACGAAAUUCUAACUCUCAAACUCCUUUUAAAUAUCCUUUGAAUUAUUUUGAUGAGUUUGUUAGUGUGCAGGAACAGCCAGCUAUAAGGAGAAAAACAACCAGAGAUGUGGCUGAUCCAAAAAGGCAACCCUUUCAAAUUGAUGUCCAACAAAUUUGUGAUAACCUUGUGAAGGGAGUGGACAAAGCCCUUAAGGACUUCAACAAGAGCCAAAAGAAGAGCACAUCCACACGUGCCCCAGUAGCUGAGCCAUCCUUGUUCAUCAGUAAGAAAGCCCAAGGUGAAUCUGAAAACCAUUUUGAAGAACUUAAAGAUUUUUCAGAUUCUCUACCCAUUUUUGAUGAAUCUGAUGAAGAGCUAAUUGAAAGCUUGAUGUUUUGUGAAAAAGAUUGUGAUCUUCCUUCUCUUGAAACUGAGUUUAAUCUUGAUAAUGAACAAGCUAUUGUAGAACUACAUGUUUUGCAACCGGAGCUUCCGAGUAGUCUUGUUUUGUCUCCACAGGUUUUUGAGGAAGAGCCACUGGAUUUUCCACAUCAGUGCCCAUGUCUUGACACUAGGAUAUGUUUGGAUGAUGAAAUAGGUCCUAUCUUUGAUGAGGAGGACGAACUUGGUCCAGUCUUUGAUGAAGAAGCAACAAGCAUCACAUCCAUUGCUAUGGAGAAUUAUCUAUGCUUUGGUCCCGGCACAACUCCUGCCCCUCUACCUCCGGAUCUUCAAGAGCACUGUGAGGAACCUUCUUCUCUUAAUUCUCUGCCUGACAUGUUUGUGAAAGUCAGUACUGAUGAUGUACUUCGUUUUGGUCUUGACAAGAUGAAAGAUUUUUUUUUUUCAAAAUCUGUUUUUGAUAACAUGAUUAAUUCUUUAAAAAUCUUUGAACCUGAUAAAUGUCUUGAUCAAUCACGUUUUCAAAAUGUCAAUGGCAUCACUUCUGGAAUUAUUUUGAGCUUUGAUCAGUUCUUGGAACAUAACAAAGGUUUUCAUCUUCUUGGAAGGCCAUUUGAUCUUGAUUUGCAACAAACUGAUUUUUGUGCUGAAAAAUCUCUUGAUUUGUUUGUUUGCAAAGGAAAUGGCUUUGAUCUAAGUUCUUCUAGACAUGUACUGAUCACUGAUGAAUUGUUUGCAUCCUCUUAUGCCUUGGACGAAAUUUUGAUUCAGAAGUUGCUGGAACAGAAAUCACUUGAAACUGAAAAUGAUUUUUGUGAUCUUGAAUUUUGUGGUUCUGUUUUGCAGCCUGAUCUCCUAAGUUUUGAAACUGAUAACACUUGGUAUUUUCUGGGAUCAUUUCGUGAUAAUGGUGUUGUCUUGAGUUCUGAUGAUAUUUUGGUUUACAACACAUUCUUUGAAAAAUGCCUUGAACUUUUGAUAAAUGAUUCUCAAACUGAACUUAAGCUUGUGUGUUCAGAUGUUGGGAAGGAUAUGCCCAUCUUGAAAAUGAAUACUGUUGUUGCAUACCUUGAUAAAAUUCUUGUCUGUAAUAUCUACUUUGAUGAGCACCUUGACAGGCCGAAAAAUGUGCAAUUUGUUCUUGGAAAAGAUAUCUUGAUUUGUGAUUUGAACAAAUAUUUAUCUUGCACAUUUGAUCCUGGUCUUUUAGUGUUUAUUUUGAGUAUACAGGAAAGACAGAUUCAGCCUCUAAGAAUUGAAAGCAUUGACCGUACCCAACAGCCUGAGUUUUGGAGAAGCUUUGUUGAAACCGGCUACCUUGAUGCCAGCGACAGAGGUUCAGUCCAAGGAGGAUAUCUCAACAUUCCGAAGGUCUUUCGUCAUGAAUUCAAUUUCCCUGGAAAGCCAACUCACCAAGGAUUCACUGAGGCUUGGAAUCACUUCGAAAGCUUCACGGAAGAAGGAGUUAUGAAUUUUCCAAACCGGAGGUUCUUCAACCCAUCUAUCCGCGAGUACCAGACUUCUAAAGGAGAUUCAGACUCAAGAAAGGAGCGGCCUGAGCCAAAACCAAACCAGCUAAAGUGAUCUUCCUAUCUUAGGGUUCUUCAGUUUGUAUCAGAGCCACUUUGGCUGGUUUGUUUUCAUUUCAUCUUCUCAUCUCUCCACGAUUUUCUUUUCUUAUUUUUUUUGUUGGAUCCGGGCUGUUCCUUUACUCCCUUGUGAUCGCCAGUUAUUAAAAAAAACGAUAAAAAAAAAGAAAAAAAAAGAGAAAAAAAAAAGAGAAAAAAAAAGAGUAAAAGUUUUGGCUUGAAUCACUUCUGAAGAGAAAUCCAGGGGGAGUGGUGGAAGAGAAACCCUGCUGGCUGAAGAGAAACCAGCCUUAGGACAGUUAAGGCGGAUCCAUAUCAAAAUUCUCUUCAUCUUUCUUUCUCUUUUCUUUUCCCACAAAGUUUGUUUUGGGUUUUGAUUGCUGAAUUUUGACUGCCUAUCAUCCUUUGAACCAGUGAAAGAACUCUGAGUGACCAUCUAAAAAUCGUGAGCUAAACACUUGAGAGUGUGAGGAUUUUUAUUUGCUAACUUUGUUAAGUGUUUUCAGGAUGUUUGGACUUCUCAAGAAAUCAAAACCACAACAAGACGUCUACUUUCAUUUUAAAACUGUUUUUGAAAAGGAGCAAUUGAUUUUUGAUAAGAAACAGUUUGCUUCUAAUGGGUUUGACUUUGUGCAGAAACAAAAGAAGAGACAAAACAGGUGCGAUGAUGAGAAGUGGGUCAGAAGUGGUGAUCGUCCCUUCACCAAACCCAAGAGAAGCAACCGUGAUGUGUCAGAUCAGAACGAGCUUCAGACUUAUGCCAGCUUGGAAAAGAUGUUGCAAAAGGCGAUUCAUGUUGUCCAGCAACUCAAAAAGAAGGGAAACAACAACACUUCUUCUGCACCAAAACAGCAAAGUAAUUUUUCUUCUCUUUCAAAUUCUGAUUUGAAAACUAAUGUGUUGUCUUCUGAUAAAAGCAAAGCUGUGAAAUCCACAAGCAAAGCUCAUUCUACCAGGUGCUUCAAAUGCCAUAGGAUCGGUCAUUAUGCUAACAAGUGCCAAAACCAGAAACCGUUGGUGACUUUGGAGAAUGAGAACGUUGAAACCGAGACAGAAAAGGAAGGUCCAUUGCCAAUUUUCGAUGACUUCGCAUAUGAUCCAAAGGAGGGGCAAGAUGAAGAAAAAAUUCUUGGUCAUCAAGCAAACCAAGAAAGAUCUUCUUCCAUUCAAAAACCGGACCAAACUCAAGGUGAGCAAUGUUCCGAUUAUGAUUCAUUUGCUUAUAACCCUUUUCCUUUUAAUGUUCCAGAUUUGAGGACAAAUAUUUUUGAAGAGAGAGGGAAUGAUGUGCCCUGGAUCGUAGACCCAGGCCAGGAUGGUGCACAACUUGACCCAACCAAGGUUUCCCCAUCGGAUGAAGCAACCAUGGCCGAGCCAGAAGUUAACUUUAGACGAGCUGGACGAAGUGACACUUAUUUGGGCGAGCUGGUCGAGCUGAAUCAAAGUGACACUUACAUAUCUGAGAUGGAUGAGCUGAGUGAGCUAAGUGAUACUAGCUUGGAGCUGAAUGAGCUAAGUGACACUGAAGAUGGAACUGGUUUAGUUGCUGGGCGAAAUGGGCCUUUUUCUGUCCAAAGAAAAAUUCAUAACAAAUUCAAUUUGGGUCGGUUUUACACCAAAUUCGACCAGGCCUUUGCUGAUGGUCACCUGCCCAUUUGCAUCAAGAAAUAUCAACAAAAGGAGUCAAAGUCGUGAUCAUCCAAGAGCCAUUCAACAACACACUUAUUUCUAGUCAAAAGUCUUAGUCUUUGUUUUCUAAGUUUCUAGUUUUCUACAAAACUCUUAAGUCUUUCUUUGACUCAUUGUACUAUAAAUAAGUAAACUCUGCCAUGAAUAAAAUCAGUCUAUGUUUUUGAGUUUAUUUAGUUUCUUCUCUGAGUUAGAGAGAGAGUUCUUUAGCUAGUUCAUCGGUUUGAACCGGCUUGUUGAUUUGGUGGUCAGCCAAUCAUCUUUGUGUGUCGUUUGGUGGUUAACCAACACACUACAUUUGUUCUUAGGUGGUUAGCCUUAGAUCGUGGGUAUAUCAAGAGCCAUUCCGCAUCUCUUGACGAUCCUUUCAAUCCAUCUCAGUUCCAGAAGUGCCGUUUGCCUUCUCGGAUCAUAUCCAACACCCAGCUAAAGUGAUCCUCCCUAUCUUAGGGUUCGUCAGUUUCUGUCCAAGGGCAUCUCCAAGGAAGUUUCUGUCCAUAUUUUUCAUUCUCUGAAUUUUCCAUGAAUUUUAAUUCCUUUGUAUCUGAUUCAUCUCUUUUUGAUAUAGGUACUUUGGAUUUGAGGACAAAUCCUUUUGAAGAAGGAGGGAAUGAUAGAACCCAGGACCUGGACCAGGGCGUGGAGCAGACUCAGCAUGGUGACCAGGACGAUCAGAUCAGUCCAACUGAGGUUCAGCCAUUUAGCCGUUCCAGAUCAACGGACAGAGCCGUGUACCGGAUCGACCCGCGUGCACCCGGACGUGACCUAAGGAUGGAUCCACGACCUGUUGACCAAAUCAGCCAAACCACAGGCGUUCUUCCCCGACCCAUUCGCCAUUCUAGAGCCAACAGUCAAGCCAGAACCCAUGAUCAUCGAGAAGAAUCAGAUUCCAGACUUAGCCUGUCUUUCCUGGCCCGUUUGGGACGUACCGCACGCCCGGAUCAGGCUGAUCACGACCUUUCCAACCACUUUGAUGAUUUCAUGAUGAUCAAUGCUUCCAACUACUCCAAAGGAAGGAUACUUAAGCUCUCUGAAGAUUUGGGUCGAGCUAUCUCUUCAUCCGUUCAUGGAUCAUCGACGAUCAAUCAUGCGGGCAGCCUUACGUCCGUCCUGCUCCUUACCGCGAACGACCUAAUCACCAAAGGAUGAACCUGGACGUCUUUGUGAAUCUGGACCAGUCAACACAAGAAUCCGCACCUUGACCAGUCUUUAGUCAAAGUCUUCAUUUCUAAUUUCUAUGUCUUGUUUUCAUUCAUUUCUAUUUUCUAUGUUGUCUUUUCCCACAAAUGUCUUUAUGUUUCUUUGACUCACAAACCUUAUAAGUAUGUGAUGAUCCCCCUUAAUAAAAACACAUCGAUUUUCCUUUGCUUAUUUUGAGUCUUCUCUCAUUGUUCUUUGCUUAGAACAUUCAUACUUCUCUUGGUGAGGUCAUCUCCAAGCGAACCACUUCGUUGUGUUGGACCGGUGCGUCACAUCCGGCAAC
rnacentral:lncRNA from 1 species